AGUUGACUUCUAAUUUAACCUAUAAGUUAUCGUUGACACGGCCAAAUCGACUCACCAUUAACACUUCUUAACAGCUCUCCUAACAGCGUAACUAACAACUGUUUUUGUCCUUAAACCAACGAUAACGGCUGUUAGGCCAUGUUUUGUAACGGCUGUUAGGAGCGCUGUUAAGGAGUGUUAACGGUGAGUCUAUUUGGCUGGGUCAACGAUAAAUUAUAUGUUAAAUUAGAAGUCAACA